rnacentral:rRNA from 1 species
UACAGAGGUCCCGAGCGUUGUUCGGAUUCACUGGGCGUAAAGGGUGCGUAGGUGGCUUUGCAAGUCUGAUGUGAAAUCUCCGGGCCCAACCCGGAAAUGGCAUUAGAAACUGCAGGGCUAGAGGCUUGGAGGGGGAACUGGAAUGCUCGGUGUAGCAGUGAAAUGCGUAGAGAUCGAGCGGAACACCAGUGGCGAAGGCGAGUUCCUGGACAAGUCCUGACACUGAGGCACGAAAGCCGGGGGAGCAAACAGG